UUUUUUUUUCAAAACAAUUUUUCAAAUUUUUAUGAGAUUUUCGGAUUUUUAUGUCAAAACACACUAAAAUACUCCAAAAUACCUUAAAAACACUUAAAAGAGCAAGGAACAACAUUAGAAGUAAUGGGUGAUAAACUCCUACGAAUUUCAUGCAAAACAAUGGUUACCCCCCACACUUAAAUCAAACAUUGUCCUCAAUGUUUCAAGCAUAAACUCACACAAAAACAAGCAAAUAAACAAACAACGAAUAAACAUGACAAGUAUAGCAAAGUAAACAAAAAAAAUAGACAGAGUAGAGUUUAAGAACGAAAAUUUGGUUUUGGAGAUAGAUGAUCUUGUUAUCUUUCCACAGCUUUGAUCUCGAACUGGUUUGUAUUUCUGAGCGAGAAAUAUGAGAGUUCCUUGGUUUCAAAUCAGACUCCUUCUGCUGGGAUGAUUUGAUUGUGCAGUCUGCAUUUUUCUCUGCUUGUUUCUUCUGCACGGCGGGCAGACACGAGGUAAAGGUGUUGGUCUGUUUCUUUCUUCAAUCUUUCCAAGUGCCCACCUCUUGCUUUCUUUCUCCUUGUCCCUAGCUGAGGAUGAAUUGGUAAAUUGUCUCCACAUGCUUCGAGGUAUCAUUUUCACUUCCCUUAUCUGUUCCCCAGACAGAUGUGGUAGAUGAAGAGGAAGCACAAGAUGAUGAAGAUGAGUACUCGAGAACAAGGCUAGGUAAGCAAUCAGGAAGGGGUUCCAAGCAGUCGGUUCCAGAUCGGAAGAUUGAUGCCAAAUGGUGGCUGAUUGCUUUCCUUCUCUUAGUUCUACAGGUUAGAACAAAGACAAGGAAAAGGACACGGAGAAUGCAUGAUAUGAGAUACUCUUGCUUUCUACCUUCAUGAUAUGAAAUACUUUGCUCUGGAUGGGUUGUUCGCAGGAGUAUCCCAAGGAAUGAGGAAUACAGAGUGACUCGAGAGGGUUUGUUGGAAAGCCAUUUUAGAGAGGAUGAAAGGUUAAGUGAGGCUGAAAGUUGGGUGAGGCUGCCUCACUAUGAAGUUCAACAUUUAUAGAAUUUUCUUAAUGGCUGGGAAGGCAUUGUUCCAUUACUCGUGUCGGCAAGCCUGGGAUAAUUUAACAGUAGACUUCACGUGCAUUCCGCUUCUCCAGAAAUCUUCGACAGAUUGCGCGUGAUUUACGCAACACAGAUGUGCAAUUGACAGAUGCUAACACGUCUUGAUAAAGCAGAUGCCUCUUUAAUAUCCGAAAUUUACGCUUCGAGUUCUGAGCUUCGUUGAGGGCAGAGAUUGCAUAUGACAAGUGCGGACAAAUCUAGAAAACGAAGAUUGGCCCGGAGUUUCAAGCCCAACUUUUGAGAAAGCGAGUGCCUCAUUGAUAACUGGAAUCGGCCUCAUCGAGUGCUGUUUUUUUAUAGAGGUGCGUAGUUCAUUUCAAAGUGCAUUGAAAUUCCACUUGUAAAACUCCCCUUUGCACUUCUAACCUCUGGAUUUAGCCCAUCUCUUCUUUCUCCAAAACCUCUGAGAAUGUCUGGC
rnacentral:lncRNA from 1 species